UGGGGAAUAUUGCACAAUGGGCGCAAGCCUGAUGCAGCGACGCCGCGUGAGGGAAGAAGGUUUUCGGAUUGUAAACCUCUGUUAAGUGGGAAAAAAUCUUGGCGGAUAAUACCCGACCAGGGAUGAUGGUACCACUAGAGAAAGUACCGGCAAACUUCGUGCCAGCAGCCGCGGUAAUACGAAGGGUACAAGCGUUAUUCGGAGUUACUGGGCGUAAAGAGCGUGUAGGUGGCUUGUUAAGUUAGUUGUUAAAUUCCCCGGCCUAACUGGGGAUCCGCAACUGAAACUGGCGAGCUAGAGUACAAGAGAGAGAAGUAGAAUUCCCGGAGUAGCGGUAAAAUGCGUAGAUCUCGGGAGGAAUACCGAUGGCGAAGGCAGCUUCUUGGCUUGUAACUGACAC
rnacentral:rRNA from 1 species